rnacentral:rRNA from 1 species
AGUGAACGCUGGCGGUAGGCCUAACACAUGCAAGUCGAACGGCAGCACAGUAAGAGCUUGCUCUUACGGGUGGCGAGUGGCGGACGGGUGAGGAAUACAUCGGAAUCUACUUUUUCGUGGGGGAUAAUGUAGGGAAACUUACGCUAAUACCGCAUACGACCUACGGGUGAAAGCAGGGGAUCUUCGGACCUUGCGCGAUUGAAUGAGCCGAUGUCGGAUUAGCUAGUUGGCGGGGUAAAGGCCCACCAAGGCGACGAUCCGUAGCUGGUCUGAGAGGAUGGUCAGCCACACUGGAACUGAGACACGGUCCAGACUCCUACGGGAGGCAGCAGUGGGGAAUAUUGGACAAUGGGCGCAAGCCUGAUCCAGCCAUACCGCGUGGGUGAAGAAGGCCUUCGGGUUGUAAAGCCCUUUUGUUGGGAAAGAAAAGCAGCAGGUUAAUACCCCGCUGUUCUGACGGUACCCAAAGAAUAAGCACCGGCUAACUUCGUG